rnacentral:ncRNA from 1 species
AAAACUCUGGAAAAUGAGCUAAUUGCUCUACCGAAGGUGCAAGUUGUAUAACUAAACUCUCAGGUACAAUGACAGAGGGGUAA